rnacentral:rRNA from 1 species
GACGAACGCUGGCGGCGUGCCUAAUACAUGCAAGUCGAGCGAAUCGACGGGAGCUUGCUCCCUGAGAUUAGCGGCGGACGGGUGAGUAACACGUGGGCAACCUGCCUAUAAGACUGGGAUAACUUCGGGAAACCGGAGCUAAUACCGGAUACGUUCUUUUCUCGCAUGAGAGAAGAUGGAAAGACGGUUUACGCUGUCACUUAUAGAUGGGCCCGCGGCGCAUUAGCUAGUUGGUGUGGUAAUGGCUCACCAAGGCGACGAUGCGUAGCCGACCUGAGAGGGUGAUCGGCCACACUGGGACUGAGACACGGCCCAGACUCCUACGGGAGGCAGCAGUAGGGAAUCUUCCGCAAUGGACGAAAGUCUGACGGAGCAACGCCGCGUGAACGAAGAAGGCCUUCGGGUCGUAAAGUUCUGUUGUUAGGGAAGAACAAGUACCAGAGUAACUGCUGGUACCUUGACGGUACCUAACCAGAAAGCCACGGCUAACUACGUGCCAGCCGCCGCGGUAUGAC